rnacentral:rRNA from 1 species
CAAAAGAAGCAGAGGGGGCUUAGUGGUGGGGUGACUGCGUACCUUUUGUAUAAUGGGUCAGCGACUUAUAUUCUGUAGCAAGGUUAACCGAAUAGGGGAGCCGGAGGGAAACCGAGUCUUAAUUGGGCGUUAAGUUGCAGGGUAUAGACCCGAAACCCGGUGAUCUAGCCAUGGGCAGGUUGAAGGUUGGGUAACACUAACUGGAGGACCGAACCGACUAAUGUUGAAAAAUUAGCGGAUGACCUGUGGCUGGGGGUGAAAGGCCAAUCAAACCGGGAGAUAGCUGGUUCUCCCCGAAAGCUAUUUAGGUAGCGCCUCGUGAAUUCAUCUCCGGGGGUAGAGCACUGUUUCGGCUAGGGGGCCAUCCCGGCUUACCAACCCGAUGCAAACUGCGAAUACCGGAGAAUGUUAUCACGGGAGACACACGGCGGGUGCUAACGUCCGUCGUGAAGAGGGAAACAACCCAGACCGCCAGCUAAGGUCCCAAAGUCAUGGUUAAGUGGGAAACGAUGUGGGAAGGCCCAGACAGCCAGGAUGUUGGCUUAGAAGCAGCCAUCAUUUAAAGAAAGCGUAAUAGCUCACUGGUCGAGUCGGCCUGCGCGGAAGAUGUAACGGGGCUAAACCAUG